ensembl:misc_RNA 7SK 7SK RNA
GGAUGUGAGGGUGAUCUGGCUGCAAAAUCUGUCACCCCAUUGAUCACUAGGGUUGAUUCAGCUGAUCUGGCUGGCUAGGUGGGUGUCCCCUUUCUCUCUCACUGCUCCAUGUGCAUCUCUCCUGAAACUGGAUGCUCAUUUGAAGAGGAUGACCAUCCCCGACAGAGGAGGUCAAGGGUAUACAAGAGCUGUGCUCCCCUCCUAGAAACUUCAAACAAAGCAUCUAUGUAAAAUUGACUCUUCAAUUUUAACAUAACAAAGCAAAACACAGAGUUGGCAACAUGUAAGCAUUACAGUAUCA